UAUUAUUAUAACUUUUGAUUGUUUGCAUUAUUGUUUUAUGUAAUGAGAUGAAAGAGGAAAUCUGGUAAGCAACUUUAUUUUAGUGUUACAUUCAAGAAAUAUAAAAAGGGAAAAGUGGAAAGCAUUCUGUUACGUUUACAUUUCAAAAUUGUGAGUUUUGCAAAUUUGCGCUGGAGUCCUUUUACUUAACAAUGUUUUGCAAAGGAGACCCCCUCAUGUUUUACUAUAAAUAUGCCAACAUUAUUCCUACCCUUCAUGUACAACGUAACAUUAUUUAUUGAUUCUUUGCAUUUGAAAACCUCAAAUGGAAUCACAAAAUCAGAUCCAACCUCCAUCACAAACUACAUUCACUAGAACAAUGUUCAAUGUCCGGAAUACGUUAACAGGCAUUACACAACUUUACGUGUACAACAGUGUAUAUCGACACAAAUCCUACAAUCAAAACCUAUCCUGAUAUAGGUGCCCAUAAGGUUUUAAUUAACUCGUUUGCUAUAGUUCGGUCUCAAAUAACCGGAAAUCUUCCUUGGAGAAACAUAAGCUCAGAAAUCGCAAUUCACAUAACACUACUAAUUACUCCCAUCGCGAAAUAUGCUAUAUAUAUAAUACGCUCCAACGAUCAUAACAACUCUUGAAAAAAAGAACGUGGGAUUAAUUUGUUUCGUAAUUAAUUAGAACAUUAUUAGUCGAUCAUUUGUACUGGUAGUAAUGUACGUAGCGUUGGUAUAAAAAAUAAAAUAUCAUUUAUUAUUCAA